rnacentral:rRNA from 1 species
ACAGCUCAAAUUUGAAAUCUGGCGUCUUUGGCGUCCGAGUUGUAAUUUGCAGAGGGCGCUUUGGCAUUGGCAGCGGUCCAAGUUCCUUGGAACAGGACGUCACAGAGGGUGAGAAUCCCGUACGUGGUCGCUAGCCUUUACCGUGUAAAGCCCCUUCGACGAGUCGAGUUGUUUGGGAAUGCAGCUCUAAAUGGGAGGUAAAUUUCUUCUAAAGCUAAAUACUGGCCAGAGACCGAUAGCGCACAAGUAGAGUGAUCGAAAGAUGAAAAGCACUUUGGAAAGAGAGUUAAAAAGCACGUGAAAUUGUUGAAAGGGAAGCGCUUGCAGCCAGACUUGCCUGUAGUUGCUCAUCCGGGUUUUUACCCGGUGCACUCUUCUACGGGCAGGCCAGCAUCAGUUUGGGCGGUUGGAUAAAGGUCUCUGUCAUGUACCUCCUCUCGGGGAGAACUUAUAGGGGAGACGACAUGCAACCAGCCCGGACUGAGGUCCGCGCAUCUGCUAGGAUGCUGGCGUAAUGGCUGUAAGCGGCCCGUCUUGAAACACGGACCAAGGAGUCUAACAUCUAUGCGAGUGUUUGGGUGUCAAGCCCGAGCGCGUAAUGAAAGUGAACGGAGGUGGGAACCUUUCGGGGUGCACCAUCGACCGAUCCUGAUGUCUUCGGAUGGAUUUGAGUAAGAGCAUAGCUGUUGGGACCCGAAAGAUGGUGAACUAUGCUUGAAUAGGGUGAAGCCAGAGGAAACUCUGGUGGAGGCUCGCAGCGGUUCUGACGUGCAAAUCGAUCGUCAAAUUUGGGCAUAGGGGCGAAAGACUAA